GACGAACGCUGGCGGCGUGCCUAAUACAUGCAAGUCGAACGAAGCUUUUUUAACUGGUGCUUGCACCGACUUAAACAACUGAGUGGCGAACGGGUGAGUAACACGUGGGUAACCUGCCCCAAAGCGGGGGAUAACAUUUGGAAACAGAUGCUAAUACCGCAUAACCACAGAAACCACAUGGUUUCUGGGUCAAAGAUGGUUGCGGCUAUCACUUUGGGAUGGACCCGCGGCGUAUUAGCUAGUUGGUAAGGUAAUGGCUUACCAAGGCAAUGAUACGUAGCCGAACUGAGAGGUUGAUCGGCACAUUGGGACUGAGACGCGGCCCAAACUCCUACGGGAGGCAGCAGUAGGGAAUCUUCCACAAUGGACGAAAGUCUGAUGGAGCAACGCCGCGUGAGUGAAGAAGGUUUUCGGAUCGUAAAACUCUGUUGUCAGAAAAGAACGUGUGCGAGAGUAACUGUUCGUGCAGUGACGGUAUCUGGCCAGAAAGCCACGGCUAACUACGUGCCAGCCGCCGCCGUAA
rnacentral:rRNA from 1 species